UUUAAGAACUUUGGCUAUAAAUAGGAAUGCUCCAAGCCAUUUUAAAAUACACAAAUUCUUUACACUUAGUGCAUACUCUCUCUCAAUGUUGUAAAAACCAUUUCAUACCGGCCGGUUCAACCGGAAAACCGGUGACCGGACCCUUAACCGGUACGGUACAGGUGUUGAACCGGUCAAGUAUCAAAACCGGUCAAAACCGGUCAAAAACCGGUCAAAAGCGGUCAAAACUGGUGAACCGGCCGGUAUUUUACUAAACCGGCC
rnacentral:lncRNA from 1 species